CUUCAGCCCUGGCACAAACACUUCCAACUCCCUAGAAGAUGCUGGGGCAAGUUGGAUUUUGACACAAAAGAGUGGUAAAAGCUCCAGUCCCUUCUUCCACCAAAGUAACUAGAUGGGCUAUCUCCGCUUACCCUAAAAGUUGAAUGAGAUUUCUACCAACACCUGGAGGAACCUAGGCACAUCAGCUCACCUUGUACUUCACCAGAGCUUUAAAAUGUCACCACCUUCUCUAACAGAAGACUGAACAAGAGCUGGGCUUCUUAAAAUGUGUUGCUUUUGGAAGACAUUUUGUGCCAAUAAAGUCUUCCUAUUCCCCUACGCAAACACAGUCUCCUGAGUUCCCUGGUCUCAGAUGUCUAGCCUUUUCCAAGCUAGUCUGGGCCCGUCCACAGAAGUCUGUCCCUUGGUUGGAUAUCAUAUUCUUUACAAGCUGUCAAAAUUUGCAUCAUGUGAAAGAAGUGACUCACCAAGGAGAUGUAAUUGCAGUGUAAGCCAAGAGGACGACUGUACAUACAGCGCAACGCAGCUCAGAUGUGACAUCCCUGCUGCCACUGCCACCAUCACCAUCACCGCCAUCACCACCAUCACCACUGUUAUUUGUCUUGAGUGGCUGUGAACUACAUUUUUGCCAAUCUGAAUGAAUUGUUUUUGUAAAUAACAACUAAAUUAACUUUGGUAUUUGAUUAGCACAGCAAAAGCCUUGAGCUGCUUAUUUUAUAAUCAUUCAAAUCACAUCUUUGAUCAGUAGCUUUAUCAUGACGUUUUCAUAAGCAAGAAUUUGCACAGCAUUUCUAAAAUUCAGAAUACUCAGCCAGUAUCGAUAUGAAUAUUAGAACACAAUCAGCAGCUGAAAACAUUUUACCCCCAUUUUACAGACGGGAAUGCAAGCACUACAUUGAAAGACUUCCACAGAACCACAUAUUAAGUUAUUAGCACAGCGUAUAUGGCAAUUAUUUCUGUAAAAGUUAAGGAUAUGUUUUAUAGGGAAUAUAUAAAGCAUGUACAUGAAAUUAGGCAUGUUCGUAAUUACUGUGAUGACUCAAGGAAUGUUUCAGCAGGUGUGGAAGCAGAGUCACACCUACUGAACAGGAAAGGGAAUGUGAAAUUGCCUUUUUAUUAUCGUACCAGUUAGGCAAAAAGCCAUUUAGAAAAAUAUACACUAAAAUUUUCUGCCAAGUUAAAUACUUUCUACCACAUUAACUAUUAUUAAAAUAUCUAAGCAAAUCCCCAGGUAUCUUUAUUUUUCCUAAACAGGUACGAUACGCCUCCAGUGUACUGUGCAAUGCUAGUAAAUGGUUACGUACCUUCUGUUAUACAUGUACAUUACAGCACGGAGCCUACAACAGGACAUAUCUGGGUGUAGGAUUCUGUGUAUAUACUACCAGAGGAGCAAAUGAAUGUGCCUCGUGUUGGGUUUGCUGCUGUUAGGAACAACUAAGAACUCUUGCAGGGUUUGGCUGGGGUCCCCAGAGCCAGUAAUUCUCUGCUCCAGAGAGGAAGGAUCAAGGAGCACCACUGUUAUUUUUCAGCUGGACCAAAGUCUCCAUUCAGCAACAUUUUCCAAAGUUAAAAAAUUUACUUCCAUCAAUUCUAAAUAUAUGUAGAGUUAAAUAUAGUAAACCUCAACUUGAAAAAUCACGGCUAAAG
ensembl:lncRNA